CCCGGAGCAUCCCUGCCAGGGGCUCACCCCAGCCCUUGGUGGGGACCGCAGUGCCGCCCACCCGACCCCGCUGGGAGCCUCCAAUGCUUCUUCCCCCCCUUCCAUCUCACUCUCCCACCUUUCCCUCCCAGAGCAGCUCCCGGCUCCGGAAUCGCAGCCCUGUAUAUUAAAAAAGUUUUCUUUGAAGCAAUAUCGCAGCUCUCUCCCGAAUUUGCUUCCUGCCUUAUGAACCCUUGGAUGCAAUCACCGGCAGCUCUCAAGGUUUCUGCUGCAAUUAGAGAUGUUUUCCAGAGUGAGGAUCAGGUGCUCAGCAGGAGCCAAGGCGGCCGGAGGCUCCACAAUCCCAGGCUCCACAACCAGGAUAACCAACUCAGCAUCUCCUUGAGCCUGGAAGCCUCCCCCCCCUUCACACCUCUCUCUUUCUCUAAUUAAAGAUAAUCACCUGCA